rnacentral:lncRNA from 1 species
GUAUCUUGACUCUCAACGCUUUGUCGUCUAACCUUCAAUUCUUCAGCAGUUGAAACAAAUGAUCUUACUCUUCUGAAUCACCAAGAUAUCUUUCCCUGCUACUUCACCUUCACUGAACAACCCGAGGUCAUCUGCCUUUGGCCUAAAGACCAGGAACCUGGGCUUCACCAAAUAAGUUAGAGACAUUGUUAUCCUACAAGAAACAUUGUAUAGAGGAGAUGGACCCACUGGUUGCCUUCUAGGUUACAGAGAGCUGGAAGUCCCAUCCACCAAACUUUUACAGGAGUACAACAGGGAAGAGACUCAGGGGAACUGGUCAAGAACCUGACACCCUCAGCACACAGGGGGACAAAUACCUACCUGGAGGUGACAGCUUUCCCUCCACCAUAUGCCCCCCUAGACACAACCAACAAAAACUGGUCACAACUCCUGCAGCUCUGUUGGACGCCAGAACGGAGGUGGAUUAUCCAUUCGCUGAUGCAGUCUCGCCAGACAUCCGGCUUUUUGACGGCUGUAACACCAAUUCCUCUUCAUACGAAUGUUGGAGAUUUGGGCCUGGUCCGGGAGGAGAUCAUAUCCUUUGCGUCUGACUCAUUAAAGGAAUAAUCCUCAUUCAGUUGAAGGUGACUGUAGCAGCAGAGACAGAGGCCCUGACCGGUCUUGGCCCACUCCAGAACACCGACUCGUGCCAGUUUAUCAUCACCCGGACACUAAUCGGUACUGACACCUACCACAGUAUCCCCUUCGUAAACAAAGAGAAGACAGAGUUCUGAAUAGAGAAGGACCUACCGUAGCUCGAACCAGAGGGAGAGGCAUAGUGCUCGGUUCAAUAAAGGUUUGCUUGAAUCCCAGCCUUUGCGAUACACUCUAAAAAUAGAAAGAGAGACAGAGACAAACAGAGAGACACAGAGAGACAGACAGAGAGAGACAGAGUGAGGAAGAUAGAGAGAGAGAAAGAUGGAGAGAAAGAGAGAGACAGAGAGAGAGAGGGAGGAUAUAUUUCAGGUUAUAGCUCAUAGCAGCUCCCUUGGAACCAAUGUCUCAGAUAUGGAGAUGUGUUUACUCUGCUCACUCAGCCUCAGACACAACA